rnacentral:tmRNA from 1 species
GUGUUUUAAGCACUAUGGCAAUAAAGGCAUCUUAAAAUAGAUGUAUUGGACCCGAGGGCAGUGCUCGGCAUCUCCACCA